rnacentral:rRNA from 1 species
UACAGAGGUCCCAAGCGUUGUUCGGAUUCACUGGGCGUAAAGGGUGCGUAGGUGGCCAGGUAAGUUUGGUGUGAAAUCUCGGAGCUUAACUUCGAAACGUCAUUGAAUACUAUCUGGCUAGAGGGUCGGAGGGGAGACUGGAAUUCUCGGUGUAGCAGUGAAAUGCGUAGAUAUCGAGAGGAACACCAGUGGCGAAGGCGAGUCUCUGGACGACUCCUGACACUGAGGCACGAAAGCUAGGGGAGCAAACAGG